rnacentral:rRNA from 1 species
GGACGAACGCUGGCGGCGCGCCUAACACAUGCAAGUCGAGCGAGAACCAGGGCUUCGGCCCUGGGGACAGCGGCGAACGGGUGAGUAACACGUGGGUAACCUGCCCUCGGCACCGGGAUAGGACCCGGGGAAACCCGGAUUAAUACCGGACAGCCUCAUGAGCUCUCGGGCUCGUGAGAAAAGGUGGCUUCGGCUUCCGGCUGAGGAUGGGCCCGCGGCCGAUUAGCUUGUUGGUGAGGUAACGGCUCACCAAGGCGAUGAUCGGUAGCUGGUCUGAGAGGACGAUCAGCCACAC